UACGGGGGGAGCAAGCGUUGUUCGGAUUUACUGGGCGUAAAGGGCGCGUAGGCGGUAGCACAAGUCAGUUGUGAAAUCUCCGGGCUUAACUCGGAAAGGUCAACUGAUACUGUGCGACUAGAGUGCAGAAGGGGCAACUGGAAUUCUCGGUGUAGCGGUGAAAUGCGCAGAUAUCAGGAAGAACACCUAUGGCGAAAGCAGCUCUCUGGGACGGUACUGACGCUGAGACGCGAAAGCGUGGGGAGCGAACAGG
rnacentral:rRNA from 1 species